GGUGGCUCAGUGGUAGAGCGCUUGCUUUGCAUACAUGAGGCCCUGAGUUCAAUUCCUCAGCACCA
rnacentral:tRNA from 1 species